rnacentral:tRNA from 1 species
AAUAAAGUGCCUGAUAAAAGGGUUACCUUGAUAGGGUAAAAAAUGUGAGUUCACCUUUAUUA